GAAAGCAAAAUAAAAUCGGCUUAAAGACCACUCUUAAUUCAACGUAAAGGAAGAUUCUGCUAAAGUGUCUGACCAGACACGUCUUCCUCUACUUGAACAUCAGAAAAACUAUCUCUUAUUCAAAGAUUAACACCUUGUGUCCCAAUGGGAAAAAAGAAACGAUAAACAGUCGGAAGAAGCCUGGAUAAGAGUUUCUUCAAAUGAAAAGCUAAAAUUCUAGAUCAAAAGAUCAAGUUUAAUUUUUUGACUUAGUAGAUCUUGCAGAGUUUGAACAUACAUCAUCAUAUAUAUUAAACAUAUAUCAUUUUGAAUUUUAAUUAUUAUCAUAGUAUCAUCACAAUAAUAUUAAUAUGACAAAAUGGUAAAUAACAAUAAUUUCAAAAAUAUAUAUACGAUAACGCAUUUUACAAAAGAUGGCAAUAUAGUUAUGAAUGGGAAAAAUAAACAUAAUAGUAAAACAUAGAACAUAGAGAUGGUGCCACAUUACAGUUUAACAUCAUUAAUAAGAAUUUUAAUAAGAAUGAAAGAAAAUAGAUUGAAAAACUCCAGACAAGAAAAGCCAAGGAUGUAUCGCGGUUUAUCUCAUUCACGGUGAAAUUUAAAUCUAACCGAGGAGUCUGAGGAGUUUCAUCCUUCGUCGAGAGAGCUGUCCUCGCGUAGGAGGUCCGCAAGGUGAGCAGAUUGUCGGUUGGCUAUCGGAAAUAUUUCCCGGCUCCGAGAAUUUAUCGGGCGUCUGCCCGGAAAUAUUUGAAAAUUCCUUCGACGCUCGCUGCGAAAACGGCGACCAUAGAGAACAGAGCCAUUGGAAGAGGUGUGUGGGUGGAUACGAGGGGAGUCAUCUGGAUCUAGGAUAUUUUUCACACCUUAAUUAGUACGGAUAGAUAGAAGACAGUAAAAUGUCAGAAAAUGUAAAUUUGAUUUUGUGAAAAUUUCUGG